rnacentral:rRNA from 1 species
GGGUUGUGAGGUUAAGCGACUAAGCGUACACGGUGGAUGCCCUGGCAGUCAGAGGCGAUGAAGGACGUGCUAAUCUGCGAUAAGCGUCGGUAAGGUGAUAUGAACCGUUAUAACCGGCGAUUUCCGAAUGGGGAAACCCAGUGUGAUUCGUCACACUAUCAUUAACUGAAUCCAUAGGUUAAUGAGGCGAACCGGGGGAACUGAAACAUCUAAGUACCCCGAGGAAAAGAAAUCAACCGAGAUUCCCCCAGUAGCGGCGAGCGAACGGGGAGCAGCCCAGAGCCUGAAUCAGUGUGUGUGUUAGUGGAAGCGUCUGGAAAGGCGCGCGAUACAGGGUGACAGCCCCGUACACAAAAAUGCACAUGCUGUGAGCUCGAUGAGUAGGGCGGGACACGUGGUAUCCUGUCUGAAUAUGGGGGGACCAUCCUCCAAGGCUAAAUACUCCUGACUGACCGAUAGUGAACCAGUACCGUGAGGGAAAGGCGAAAAGAACCCCGGCGAGGGGAGUGAAAAAGAACCUGAAACCGUGUACGUACAAGCAGUGGGAGCACGCUUAGGCGUGUGACUGCGUACCUUUUGUAUAAUGGGUCAGCGACUUAUAUUCUGUAGCAAGGUUAACCGAAUAGGGGAGCCGAAGGGAAACCGAGUCUUAACUGGGCGUUAAGUUGCAGGGUAUAGACCCGAAACCCGGUGAUCUAGCCAUGGGCAGGUUGAAGGUUGGGUAACACUAACUGGAGGACCGAACCGACUAAUGUUGAAAAAUUAGCGGAUGACUUGUGGCUGGGGGUGAAAGGCCAAUCAAACCGGGAGAUAGCUGGUUCUCCCCGAAAGCUAUUUAGGUAGCGCCUCGUGAAUUCAUCUCCGGGGGUAGAGCACUGUUUCGGCAAGGGGGUCAUCCCGACUUACCAACCCGAUGCAAACUGCGAAUACCGGAGAAUGUUAUCACGGGAGACACACGGCGGGUGCUAACGUCCGUCGUGAAGAGGGAAACAACCCAGACCGCCAGCUAAGGUCCCAAAGUCAUGGUUAAGUGGGAAACGAUGUGGGAAGGCCCAGACAGCCAGGAUGUUGGCUUAGAAGCAGCCAUCAUUUAAAGAAAGCGUAAUAGCUCACUGGUCGAGUCGGCCUGCGCGGAAGAUGUAACGGGGCUAAACCAUGCACCGAAGCUGCGGCAGCGACGCUGAUGCGUUGUUGGGUAGGGGAGCGUUCUGUAAGCCUGCGAAGGUGUGCUGUGAGGCAUGCUGGAGGUAUCAGAAGUGCGAAUGCUGACAUAAGUAACGAUAAAGCGGGUGAAAAGCCCGCUCGCCGGAAGACCAAGGGUUCCUGUCCAACGUUAAUCGGGGCAGGGUGAGUCGACCCCUAAGGCGAGGCCGAAAGGCGUAGUCGAUGGGAAACAGGUUAAUAUUCCUGUACUUGGUGUUACUGCGAAGGGGGGACGGAGAAGGCUAUGUUGGCCGGGCGACGGUUGUCCCGGUUUAAGCGUGUAGGCUGGUUUUCCAGGCAAAUCCGGAAAAUCAAGGCUGAGGCGUGAUGACGAGGCACUACGGUGCUGAAGCAACAAAUGCCCUGCUUCCAGGAAAAGCCUCUAAGCAUCAGGUAACAUCAAAUCGUACCCCAAACCGACACAGGUGGUCAGGUAGAGAAUACCAAGGCGCUUGAGAGAACUCGGGUGAAGGAACUAGGCAAAAUGGUGCCGUAACUUCGGGAGAAGGCACGCUGAUAUGUAGGUGAAGCGACUUGCUCGUGGAGCUGAAAUCAGUCGAAGAUACCAGCUGGCUGCAACUGUUUAUUAAAAACACAGCACUGUGCAAACACGAAAGUGGACGUAUACGGUGUGACGCCUGCCCGGUGCCGGAAGGUUAAUUGAUGGGGUUAGCGCAAGCGAAGCUCUUGAUCGAAGCCCCGGUAAACGGCGGCCGUAACUAUAACGGUCCUAAGGUAGCGAAAUUCCUUGUCGGGUAAGUUCCGACCUGCACGAAUGGCGUAAUGAUGGCCAGGCUGUCUCCACCCGAGACUCAGUGAAAUUGAACUCGCUGUGAAGAUGCAGUGUACCCGCGGCAAGACGGAAAGACCCCGUGAACCUUUACUAUAGCUUGACACUGAACAUUGAGCCUUGAUGUGUAGGAUAGGUGGGAGGCUUUGAAGUGUGGACGCCAGUCUGCAUGGAGCCGACCUUGAAAUACCACCCUUUAAUGUUUGAUGUUCUAACGUUGACCCGUGAUCCGGGUUGCGGACAGUGUCUGGUGGGUAGUUUGACUGGGGCGGUCUCCUCCUAAAGAGUAACGGAGGAGCACGAAGGUUGGCUAAUCCUGGUCGGACAUCAGGAGGUUAGUGCAAUGGCAUAAGCCAGCUUGACUGCGAGCGUGACGGCGCGAGCAGGUGCGAAAGCAGGUCAUAGUGAUCCGGUGGUUCUGAAUGGAAGGGCCAUCGCUCAACGGAUAAAAGGUACUCCGGGGAUAACAGGCUGAUACCGCCCAAGAGUUCAUAUCGACGGCGGUGUUUGGCACCUCGAUGUCGGCUCAUCACAUCCUGGGGCUGAAGUAGGUCCCAAGGGUAUGGCUGUUCGCCAUUUAAAGUGGUACGCGAGCUGGGUUUAGAACGUCGUGAGACAGUUCGGUCCCUA